rnacentral:lncRNA from 1 species
GAGGAAGCAUCUUCAGAUCAGGAUGAAAUCUUUAUAUUUGCAUUCAAACAUUGUAAAAGAAAUCUAGUAUAGGUAGGAAUUGAGAUAAUUUGCUCCAGAAAGAACUCUUCUUGCAUUUUGUUUCCUUUGUUGCUCUGCAUAUGACCUUCAAUUUCAGUCAUUGUUUCAAAUUUUGUUUGCUCUGGUUCGACUCUGUGUUUAGUGUUUCUGAGUUUUUCUUCUCUUUUUUUUUUCAUCAGACUCUACUCUAUUUGUCGGCAAUCUUCUUUCUUUGUUUACCUGCUUUUGUUCUUGGGUGGAUCGAAUAUAAACAUUUGUGUACAUCUUUGGCUCUUCUUUGUUUGAUUCACUUUCUUCAAUUAGAUCAGAAAAUAUUUCUCUGAAGGCAUGUUGAUUUUAUUAUUUUACACGAUUUCUGUUUGUGUUACUUUUUCGAUUUCUAAUUUGUUUUAUUCAUGUUUUUUACAGUUUAAUUUUUGAUGCUUCCGAGUUUCAGCAGUCCUGAUUCCUGAUGUUUUCUGGGUGAGCAUGGUUCUCUCCUUUUUCAAGUUAACAACUUAUUUUAUAUUACUUUUGCUGAGAUUGAUUGUGAGUUGCAAGUUUCGCAAUGCAAUUUUUGUAUUAUGAAUCCUUGAUGGACUAUGGUGAAAAUUUACUUUUCUUUGUAGAAAAAACAUCAAAGAAUUAUACUACUAUACAAAUCAGGUUUGUUAAUAUUGAUACUGCUGAUGUUAAUAAUCACUUGGCUAUUGUGAAAUAUGUUGAGGAUAUUUACAAAUUUUAUAAGCUCACAAAGGUCUGGUGAAUAUCAGAUGUCUCUGUUUCAAUGCUGGGGUGAUUUUACUGUUAUAGUGGAUACGGUGAGUUACUUUAAUGUGACAAACAAUAGUUUUGUGAUUUUAUUGUGUAGUGUAUAAAAUUCAUGUUAUUUUGAUAAUUUGGCUGAUUCAGGAUGAACGUUGAUUGUAUUAUUACAUGGAUUCACAACCACACAUCAACGCCAGGGUCAAAGCUAGCAAUUUUUCUGGAAGGUUGAACUACUUGAAAAACAUGAAAGCUACAUUACUUCACACAGUUGCGAGAUGAAGAGAAACUUUUUAGGAUCUAUUGUCAAUAUUUUUAGCAUUGUUAGUACUGUAACUCUCAACUAAAAGCUGGACAAAGUUACAAUUUUCAUCAAAAAUCGGUAAUGGCAGAGGGGCGUUUCUUUGGUUAUUGCUCAAAACUACAACUGCUAGUGAUUAUUUCUCAUGUAGUGAUUUUUUUAUGGAAUCAAUGUGUUAUCAAAACAUUUACGUUUAGUUAUGUUAUAACACAAACAGUUGAGGAUUGCACAACCUUACUACUAAAUGUUCAGAAAUAGACUUCUUUCUUGAAGGAGGAUUGCCAUUCAAUUGACGACUUGUGAUCAUCAAUUGCGAGAAGCUGGUGAGUGGCCGAAACGAUUGGCAUCUCAAAGAGUUUAUAUGUGAUCUAGCAGAACACAAUAGAUUGGGAGGGGGUGGAGACAGGUUUUUCUGAUUAAAUUUGGCACUAGUACUCGAUUUCUUGAGUUUUUGCUUCAGUAAAAG